ACUCCUACGGGAGGCAGCAGUAAGGAAUAUUGGUCAAUGGGCGCAAGCCUGAACCAGCCAUGCCGCGUGAAGGAUGACGGCCCUAUGGGUUGUAAACUUCUUUUGUACGGGAAAAAACCCCCGGUCGUGUACCGGGGUUGAUGGUACCGUAAGAAUAAGCAUCGGCUAACUCCGUGCCAGCAGCCGCGGUAAUACGGAGGAUGCAAGCGUUAUCCGGAUUCAUUGGGUUUAAAGGGUGCGCAGGCGGAUUGGUAAGUCAGUGGUGAAAUCCUACGGCUCAACUGUAGAACUGCCAUUGAUACUGCCGAUCUUGAGUACACUUGAAGUGGGCGGAAUGUGUCAUGUAGCGGUGAAAUGCUUAGAUAUGACACAGAACACCGAUCGCGAAGGCAGCUCACUAAAUUGUAACUGACGCUCAUGCACGAAAGCGUGGGGAUCAAACA
rnacentral:rRNA from 1 species